GUUGCUGGUUCUCUAGGGAGCAUGUGCACACCUUGUCAUCUUUAUAUCUCCACCUGUGCACCUUUUGUAGACCUUUCAGGUCUAUGUUGCUUCAUUUACCCCAAUGUAUGUUAAUAGAAUGUUGUGCCUAUAUAAUAUAUACAACUUUCAGCAACGGAUCUCUUGGCUCUCGCAUCGAUGAAGAACGCAGCGAAAUGCGAUAAGUAAUGUGAAUUGCAGAAUUCAGUGAAUCAUCGAAUCUUUGAACGCACCUUGCGCUCCUUGGUAUUCCGAGGAGCAUGCCUGUUUGAGUGUCAUUAAUAUAUCAACCUUCUCUUUUUGAGUGGUUUGGAUGUGGGGGUUUGCUGGCCUCUUAAAAAGGUCUUGGCUCUCCUGAAAUACAUUAGCAGAACAACCCUGUUCAUUGGUGUGAUAACUAUCUACGCUAUUGAAUGUGAAGGGCAGUUUGGCUUUCUAACAGUCCUUGGACAAGCUCAUCAUUAAUGUGACCUCAAAUCAGGUAGGACUACCCGCUGAACUUAAGCAUAUCAAUAAGCGGAGGAAAAGAAACUAACAAGGAUUCCCCUAGUAACUGCGAGUGAAGCGGGAAAAGCUCAAAUUUAAAAUCUGGCGGUCUUUUGGCUGUCCGAGUUGUAAUCUAGAGAAGUGUUAUCCGCGCUGGACCGUGUACAAGUUUCCUGGAAUGGAGCAUCAUAGAGGGUGAGAAUCCCGUCUUUGACAUGGACUACCAGGGCUUUGUGAUGCGCUCUCAAAGAGUCGAGUU
rnacentral:rRNA from 1 species